GUAAACAUUCACAACAUUCAAAUAUUGUUAUAAACAAUUGAAAAAUAAAGCGUGAAAAUAUUUUCAUAAUGUGACCUAGAUUUUUAAGGUGGGAAAACAACUUCACUUAGAAUAUGAGAGAAUCAUCGAAAUGAAGAAGCUUCUAGAACAAUAAUAAAAUGCAAAUGAAGAACAAAAUGUUCUCUGGAAAUGGCAAUAUGCCUGGAUCGUUUGCAAGCCUAGUUCUUACCUGAGUUUCAUUUUCUUUUAAGUUGUUUAUUACUUCUUCCUGUUUCAAUUGCUUUUAUAAAAUCUAGGUCCGGCAAGAAAAAAAGAAAUACUUCAAAAUAAGAUUCUAUGAAAUAGGGGGGGAUCGAGAAAUUAUUCCUACUUCCUCCAAAGUGUGGGUCACUCAACUUAAAAGAAUAACCGACAGGAAAAAUAGAAUUAUGUAUCGAAUACAUAUAUAAGGGAGAUUGGUCAGACGAUUUAGAAUUUGCCUCAUAGUUGAUCAAGAGCAUUUUGAAAUUUUUUAGCACCAUGAAAGCUGUACUUGUCCUUAUGUUAGUGGCGAGCAUUUUAUGCGUAGAGUUGACGAGUGUUAACGCACAGACCUCAUUUUCUCAACGCCUCGACCAAACAAUGUGUCAGCGCACUUGCAGACUUUUCUCGAGGUCGCACAGAAGAGGAUGCUGCGAGCUCUACAAUAGUUGCUGUGCCAGUCCCACAGGAUAAUCUUUUUGAACACUAAUAUUUCAUGAACUCUCAUUGGUUAACAGACUAUGUAAACAUGUGAUGCAACAAUCUGUAUGUUCUUAAGCGCGGUGCCACAUAACAUCAUUUUAAAUUCUUGUAAAUAAACUAUUUUUCAUACAA